AAUAAAUCAAUUUUUUACUUUUUACCUUAAAUUUUUUACUCUGUCUUAUUUAAAUUUUUUUUGUGAUUGCUAUUUUUGUUUUUAUUAGAUGAUAAAUCAUGAAUAGUACUUUACGUGUGACUAAUAUUUUUUAAUUUCUUAAAAAUUUUUUAAAUAAAACAGAUGAUGAAACAUUGGACACGGAAACC
rnacentral:pre_miRNA from 1 species